rnacentral:rRNA from 1 species
GUAUUGCCCAAUGGGGGAAACCUUGAUGCAGCGACGCCGCGUGAGCGAAGAAGUAUUUCGGUAUGUAAAGCUCUAUCAGCAGGGAAGAAAAUGACGGUAGUUGACUAAGAAGCUCCGGCUAAAUACGUGCAAGCAGCCGCGGUAAUACGUAUGGAGCAAGCGUUAUCCGGAUUUACUGGGUGUAAAGGGAGCGUAGGCGGCCUGGCAAGUCUGGUGUGAAAUACCGGGGCCCAACCACGGGACUGCAUUGGAAACUGCCAGGCUGGAGUGUCGGAGAGGCAGGCGGAAUUCCUAGUGUAGCGGUGAAAUGCGUAGAUAUUAGGAGGAACACCGGUGGCGAAGGCGGCCUGCUGGACGACAACUGACGCUGAGGCUCGAAAGCGUGGGGAGCAAACAGG